AUGUGUAUACUAUCCCAUGGUGGGGGCGAAGGAGUUAUACUGUGCUUGUAUGUUGAUGACAUACUGAUAUUCGGAACAAACCUCAAAGUCAUUGAGGAGGUCAAAUCAUUUCUGUCUCAGAACUUUGAGAUGAAGGACCUUGGUGUGGCUGAUGUUAUCUUGAACAUCAAGCUACUGAGAGAUAAUGAGGGUGGGAUCACACUUCUGCAAUCCCAUUAUGUUGAGAAGGUGUUGAGUCGUUUUGGAUAUUCGGACUGCACACCAUCUCAAACACCAUAUGAUCCUAGCGUGUUGAUUCGAAAGUCCAAAGGCAUGUCUAAAGAUCAAUUGAGAUAUUCUCAAAUCAUUGGUUCACUGAUGUACCUAGCGAGCGCAACGAGGCCUGACAUCGCGUUUGUUGUGAGCAAACUGAGCCGGUUUGUUUCCAAACCGGGUGAUGUACAUUGA
rnacentral:rRNA from 1 species